rnacentral:rRNA from 1 species
CCUGAACGCUGGCGGCGUGGCUAAGACAUGCAAGUCGCACGGACGUAGCAAUACGUUAGUGGCGAACGGGUGAGUAAUGAAUCGCUAAUGUGCCUCGGACUUUGGGAUAGCUACCCGAAAGGGUAGGUAAUACCAGAUGAUAUAACUUUGUCGCAUGACAGAGUUCUCAAAGGUCCGCCGGUCUGGGAGCAGGCGAUUUCGUACCAGCUAGUUGGUGAGGUAACGGCUCACCAAGGCGACGACGCGUAGCCGGACUGAGAGGUUGGCCGGCCACAUUGGGACUGAGACACUGCCCAGACUCCUACGGGGGGCUGCAGUAACGGAUCUUCCGCAAUGGGCGAAAGCCUGACGGAGCGACGCCGCGUGUAGGAGAAGCCCUUCGGGGUGUAAACUACUGUCAGGGGUUAGAAAGUUCUGAUCAACCCCAGAGGAAGGCACGGCUAACUCUGUGCCAGCAGCCGCGGUAAGACAGAGGUGCCAAGCGUUAGGCGGAAUCACU